rnacentral:rRNA from 1 species
UACGUAGGGGGCGAGCGUUGUCCGAAGUUACUGGGCGUAAAGAGCGCGUAGGCUGGUCUUUAAGUGAGUGGUGAAAGGUUCGGGCUCAACCCGGACACUGCCUUUCAUACUGGGGACCUUGAGUGUGGGAGAGGCGAGUGGAAUGGUCGGUGUAGCGGUGAAAUGCGUAGAUAUCGAUCGGAACACCAGUGGCGAAGGCGACUCACUGGUCCGGUACUGACGCUGAGGUGCGAAAGCGUGGGGAGCAAACAGG